rnacentral:lncRNA from 1 species
GCGACUUCUUUAAGUUGAUUUCAUGGUCUCCUCCACAAAGUGGCUGGCUAAAAGGGAACACAGAUGGAGCUUCAAAGGAAAAUCCUGGUCCUAGCUCUAUUGCCUUUUGUAUGAGGGAUGAGCAUGGAAACCUAGUGGUAGCUCAAGAAAUCAAAAUAAAAAACAUCACAAGUUUGGAGGCUGAGGCACUAGCUAUUAGGGAAUGUCUAAAAUAUUGCAGCACAAAUUUCAUAAAGCAAAUUAUUUUAGAAAGUGAUUCUUGGAUAAUGGUGUAGAUUUUGAACUCACACUGAGAAAUUCCAUGGAGGAUUACAAUAGUGAUUAAAUCCAUCAAGGAUUUGAUGGAAAUGAUGUCAGUUAGAGUGAUACGUUCCCGUAAAGAAGGUAACACUCUAACUGACUUUUUGGCUAACUUUGUGUUUAAUUAUGUAUGUAAUUUUCAAUGCAAUUAUGAGGAGCAAUUAUCAAGUUAAGGCGGAGCUAUUUUUGCACUGCACAAAGCUGGAAUUCCUAAGAUCAGAAAAAUGGUACAAGAAGAUACAAAUCACUAACAUGCUCAAAAAAUUGCAAAAUUAAUUCAAAAUCAGCAGAUGAAAAGCAACAAUGGCAGAAACAUACUUCAACAACAAACAACAUGCAAAGUAAUUUAAAGGCAAGGAUUAAUAGGAACAAGAACCUGAUAGCAGCAAUUAACGUUCUUCAGUUUAGCUCAAUACAGUUGAGACGCUACUCUGGAAAAUUAGAUGCAACCUAGAUUGAAGCCAGAAUAGAGGUGUAAAUAGAUUGUAAAAUAUAUAAAUCAGGGAUUGACAUUGAGAAUGAUUAAAUCUGCAGUUGAAAAUGAGUUCUUUUGAAUGCAACAACUACAUCCAGCGAGAUUUUUGAAUGUCAAUGCAUUCAAACAGUAGAAAAAUUGGAUCUAAAUAUGCAAUCCCUUGAUAUAUAUAGUAAUAAUCUAUAACACUAAACAACUUAAAUCUCUUAUUUUUUCUUGAAUCUAAUCUUUAGUAAGAUGGUGGUAUUAGCUUCUUUGAAGCUCAACCCAUUAACUACGGAUUAAAUGAAAAGGAAAAGAGGAACUUACCUUCAAGAAAUCAGGUGACAAGCUGGAGACAUGGUCAAGAGCAUGGGAGUUAAGGAAGUCGAUGGUGGAGCCAUGGAUUCCGAUGAAGGCGGCGGCCGAUUUGAUUUCCUCUUUUGACUGAUCAGACCCUUUGUCUUAUUUGGGUUUGUUUUUUGUAUUUGAUUUGCAUGGACUCGGGUCCUCUCUUUAUGGGCUGAUCUUUGAUUCAUUUGUUUUUGUUUAUAAAAUGAGCUAAAAGAUC